rnacentral:rRNA from 1 species
UAAUCGCAGAUCAGAAUGCUGCGGUGAAUGCGUUCCCGGGUCUUGUACACACCGCCCGUCACACCACGGGAGUUGGAGACGCCCGAAGCCGAUUAUCUAACCUUUUGGAAGAAGUCGUCGAAGGGGGAAUCAAUAACUGGGGUGAAGUCGUAACAAGGUAGCCGUAUCGGAAGGGGCGGCUGGAUCACCUCCUUUCUAAGGAGA